rnacentral:rRNA from 1 species
GACGAACGCUGGCGGCGUGCUUAACACAUGCAAGUCGAACGGAAAGGCCCUGCUUUUGUGGGGUGCGCGAGGGGCGAACGGGUGAGUAACACGUGAGUAACCUGCCCUGGACUUUGGGAUAACGUCAGGAAACGGGUGCUAAUACCGGAUAGGAGCUCCUGCUGCAGGGUGGGGGUUGGAAAGUUUCGGCGGUUGGGGAUGGACUCGCGGCUUAUCAGCUUGUUGGUGGGGUAGUGGCUUACCAAGGCUUUGACGGGUCGCCGGCCUGAGAGGGUGGCCGGCCACAUUGGGACUGAGAUACGGACCAGAGUCCUACGGGAGGCAGCAGUGGGGAAUAUUGCCCAAUGGGCGGAAGCCUGAUGCAGAAACGCCGCGUGCGGGAUGACGGCCUUCGGGUUGUAAAAAGCUUUCGGCUGUGACGAAGCGUGAGUGACGGUAAUGGGUAAAGAAGCACCGGCUAACUACGUG